AUUGAACGCUAGCGGCAUGCUUUACACAUGCAAGUCGAACGAGUGGCGGACGGGUGAGUAAUAUAUCGGAACGUGCCCAGUAGCGGGGGAUAACUACUCGAAAGGGUGGCUAAUACCGCAUACUAUUGGAGCGGCCCAUAUCGGAUUAGCUAGUUGGUGGGGUAAAGGCUCACCAAGGCGACGAUCCGUAGCUGGUCUGAGAGGAUGACCAGCCACACUGGGACUGAGACACGGCCCAGACUCCUACGGGAGGCAGCAGUGGGGAAUUUUGGACAAUGGGGGAAAGCCUGAUCCAGCCAUCCCGCGUGUAUGAGAAGGCCUUAGGGUUGUAAAGUACUUUCGGCAGAGAAGCGGUAUCUGCAGAAUAAGCACCGGCUAACUACGUGCCAGCAGCCGCGGUAAUUC
rnacentral:rRNA from 1 species